rnacentral:tRNA from 1 species
GCAGUGAUGGUUCAGUGGUAGAAUUCUCACCUUCCAUGUGAGACAGCCCAGGUUGGAUUCUCUGCU